rnacentral:misc_RNA from 1 species
AACGCACCUUGCGCCCUCUGGUAUUCCGGAGGGCAUGCCUGUUUGAGUGUCAUGAACACCUCACCCCCUCGGGUUUCCGAUCGGGUGGACUUGGGCGCUGCCAGUGAAAUGGCUCGCCUUAAACGCAUUAGCGGUUGUUGACGUAAUAAGUUUCGUCUUGUCGACCGCUCCUAAUCUCCUUCGGGAUGUCUCUGGACACUUCAUGAUCUGACCUCAAAUCAGGUAGGACUACCCGCUGAACUUAA